GCGGCCCCUGCAGUCAGCCCGGCGGUGUCGCGGGGAGGCGGGAGCGGGAGGCGGCGCUGCGUCACCCAGUACGCAGAGAGGGCGGCGGGGACCCGGGGCGGGGUGUGGGGACCCGGGAGGAGACUACCAAGAUGAGACAGGAGACGCUGAACUUGGGGACUCAGAAGAAGCAGAAGAUCGAGGGAGCCUAGGUCCUGGUCUCCUGGCGGCUGGGAAGAGUCCUGCAAGCUGGCCCCAGCAGGCAAGGGAAGGCUGGGAGAAGAACAGAGAGCCACCUUCCAAGGCCUUGAAGCUCAAUCUGUAGAUGGAUGUGGAUCUACACCCACCAGAGGGAUAGGGAUGGAGUUUUCAUGUCAGUCACCUGACUGUUCCCUCCCUAACGGGCCUAAGGAACCUUAGUUGCUAUUCCUGAUGGGAUGUAUCCCUGGACUCCCCCUCUCCCAGCUAAAGGAUCCCAAGGCACAGUAGGGCAGUAUUCAGCACUGCCUUGAAAGCAUGUUCACCCAUCUCCGUGAAAAUUCCAUAGGCAUAUGGGCUUGUCCCUUACUGUCUCCAGUAUCUAAAAUGGUCACUGCACACAGUGUUACUAAUCAAA